GCCAAGUGGAUCAAGGCAGUGGAUUGUGAAUCCACCAUGCGCGAAA
rnacentral:tRNA from 1 species